AUGGGCCAUGUAGUCCCGUUCCUAGUACUAUUGUGGCAGAUGAAGAGGAAAACUUGGGUUUCCCACCGUUUCAGCCAGAAUUUUACUAGGAACAGGACUACAAGGCCCAUGAGUCAUCACAUAUAUGCAGCAUUUAUUUGUAUGCACAAAUGCCAACCCAGAGGCGGUCCAACCAUAAGGCGAAAUAGGCAUUUGCCUGUGGCGCCAUCGUCCCGGGGGCACCAUCGUCCUGGGAGGAGGGCACCACUCUCCACCUCCUUCUCUUUCGGGCCUUCCAGCGGCCGCGCUGGGCCUUCCGGCCAGCGCAGACCCACCUUCGCACCACGCAAGCCCACCUUUGGGGCCUUCAGAGAUUGUGAGGUCUGUAGGAACUUGGAAGCUAGGUAUAUGGGGUUUAUAUAUCUGUAGAAGGUCCAGGGUGGGAGAAAGAACUUUUCUUUGAAGCAGGUGUGAAUGUUGUAAUUAAUCACCUUGAUUAGCAUUUAAUGGCCCUGUGGCUUCAAGCCCUGGCUUCUUCUUGCCUGGGAGAAUCUUUUUUUGGGAGGAGUUAGCUGUCCCUGAUUGUUUACUGUCUGGAUUUCUUCUGUUUUCAGAGUGUUGUUCUUUAUUUAUUGUCCUGAUUUUAGAGGGUUUUUUUUAAUACUGAGGGCUAUCUGGGUUAUCUAAGUCCACACUGCCCUAUAUCCCUGUUCAAUGUUUAGUGCUAAAUUUGCAAAUAUAGUAAUUCCUACAUAACAUUACCAUGUAUUGAACUGCUUUUUCUAUUGAUUUGUUGUAAAACAUGAUGUUUUGGUGCUUAAUUUUUAAAAUCAUAAUGUAAUUUGAUGUUUUAUAGGCUUUUCCUUUAUACUUCCUUAUUAUCCAACAUUUUCGCUUAUCCAACGCUUUUAUUUUUCAGUGAUUGGUUUGGGGGGGCGCCAAAAUUCUGUUCGCCUACACUUGAAAAAUACCUAGGGCCGGCUCUGUGCCAACCCACCUAAAAAUGCACACUAACACUUACUCCCCAGUGCCUGUCCCUAACUAGAUCAGGACCUAUGCUUUCUAAGUCCUAUUGUGUUGACUGUUUAUUAUCUAUGUUUUGUUUUGCAUUUAUAUUUUGUAUGUCACACCUUGAGUGUUCUGUGAGCCGUCCUGAGUCACUCUGGGAGAUGGUGGCAGGAUAUAAAGUUGUUGUUAUUGUUGGUUCACCCCCUGUCUAUCUUCACAAUCGCAUCUCCCCCAUGUCCCAUCACAGACUCUGAGAUCUUCUGGUGAGGCCCUCUUCUUGAUCACAUCGCUGCCUCAGAUACAGUUGGUGGGGACGAGAGAGAGGUCCUGUUCAGUGGUGGCCCCCCGCCUUUGGAACACCCUCCCCAAAGAGAUAAGACAAGCCCCAUCAAUAUCAUCUUUCCGUAGGGGCUUGAAAACUUGGUGGUUUCAGUAGGUAUUUGGAAAUGACUAAUCUGAGGCCCUAGAUGCCACCUUGGCCAGCACAUGGUAGCUUGGGGUCUCAAUAGGCUUGUGGAAGCGACUAAUCUGAAACCCUAGACGCCACCCUGUUCAUUACAUGAUUCAUGUUCUGCACUUUACCCACUUCCUUGAUUGUGUUAGGGUGUUUGUUCUAAUAGUUUUUACCCUUAUAGCUAUGCUGUACAUUUGCAGUGGUGUAAUCUUGGCCUAUGAUCUUUGUUAUUAGUCACACUUCACCCCUGGCUUUAGGUUUUUUACUAUGUGAUCCCUACUCUAGCCCAUACUGCUGUCUUGUUCAAUCCAGAAAUUAUACCCACUGGUUGUGGAAUUCACCCAAUGGAGCAAUCUGUAAUUCGCUUUUUAUAUCAAAGGUUUUACAUAGUUUUAAAAUGUUUUAAAACAAUUUUAUUAUGUUUAAGUUGUUAUAUUAUUAUUGAUUUGUUGCAGUGUGUGUGAUGUAUGAUGGUAUUGAAUGUUUACCAUGUGUAAACCGCUCUGAGUCCCUAUGGGAUAUAGAGUGGUAUAUAAAUAAAGUUUGCUGCUGUUGUUGUUGUUGUUGUUGUUGUAACUUUUCUUAUGUGGUUCAUUGUGGCAAAUGCAAAAAUUCAUUGGUCUUUAUCCAAUUACUAGUCCCAGCUAGAAUAAACCCAUUCUAUCAGCAUUGAAUGAUAAACUUGCAUUUUUGUAAAUGCCCUUGCUCAGGUUGGAACUUGCAAUUGAAUUUAAUAGGCCUGUAAUACCUUCUUUCUCUGAUAAAAAAUAACCUCAUCCCUGCUCAGUUUAUUGAACUAUGUUCCCCGCCCUCCCCUUCCAGUUUCACUUACUCAUACCUCUUUGAAAAUAAAGGUAAUCAUAUUGGUCUGAUUUUGAAAAAUCCACAGUUACAUAAUACCUUCAUUAAGACCAAAAUUUCACGAGGUACCUACCCUGUCCAGUUUUCUAGAGGUUUUAAUCAGGUUGUGUGGCAUAAACAUUUAUUGCAAAAGGUAGACAAACCAGCAUUGCACCUGGACUACCACCUUUGGUGAUGGUCCUUCUCAGACAAUGUUGUGCACAUCCCACUACUGAUCUGCCUUCUUCUAUAAUUAUCCUAUCCCUUGCUGUUAGCUCCUAGUUCUCCCGCCUUCCCAUCAUCUAUGUUGGUGCAAUGAGCCCAUUAUGCUUCUAUGCCUGGAAGGAGUGGGAUUCUCCUCCUCCUCCUCGCUAUCCAAAGCUGUCCAUUUUCCGUUAUUUUAUAUUUUUAUAGCUACAUUUGCCUUGUUUUGUUUUUCAAAGCUGGAAUUGUGAAGUUGCUUUA
ensembl:lncRNA